rnacentral:lncRNA from 1 species
UCUUGGUGGAGAUCCCUGUCUACCUGAGGUCUUCUAAGGGACUGGAGAAAAAAGUAUGAUUGGGCUGUGUGAACUGGGGAAUUGGUAGUGCAAGCACCAAGAAAUCUAGCUGAUUCUACUACUGCGGCACAGUUCUAAGAGACAAUUGGAAGAAGUGUUAACAAAACCAAGAUGGAUUGUAUUAAUCAGUGGCAAAGGAAGAGGAAAACGUCUAUGGUGGUGGAAAACUCCUUACUUCGUGGGUUGUUCUAUGAUGUUCUGCUGGAAAAAGUAGCUGAAGCAGGGAAGGGAGAGAUUGCCAUUGUGAUACCUCCAGAUAUCCGGAGAACAAUGGAAAGAAUGCUAUCUUCAACAACUGCACUUUUGGUUCUCUUUGAUGUACAUUCAAAGUCUUCAGCAGUACAUCAUACCACUUAUAAAAGCAAUAUUUUGAAAUAUACUGGAUUUAGUAUAGGCUCUAGAUUGGGAAGCUCUUGAAUCCUAGGAACUUCUGGCUCUGACAAAAAGAGUAACUUGUGAUCUCUCUAUGAGUACUUGUUUGGUCCUCCUGGUAAUAGAGAUCAUGCUUGUCAAUAUGGUUCUAUUUGCUUACAGCUUGCCUCAUGUUUUCUGUUGAUUGUUUUGUGUUGGGGCUAGAAAAUAAUGCCUCAUUCCUUAAAUUGCUGACUGUAAUAGGAUUUUACUAGAACAAGUGAGUAAAUAGCUUCUCAACUUGCAUACAGUGGUUGCUAAAGGCUGGUUAAGCUUCCCUCCUACUUACCUGGCUUGCUUUGAGCUGUAUGAAAUCUACUGAUGCCAGGCAGAUUGAUUUUACAGGGGCAGACUGGAAGCAGUUCUGUUAAAACAAAACACCCUCAAAUGGAUGAAGAAACAACUCUAAAUUGUCAUUUGGUUUGUGACUUCUUCAAGGUGAUUUAUGGCAACCAUAUUUCAAGCUGAUCAGCAAUUUUCUUCAUACCAUUUAUGAAAUAUUUUUAAAAAACAAAUAAUUUUUUUCUGACUUCUAUAUUUAUCAAGAUUUCGUGUUUGUGGAACUCCUUGGGCUCUGUUUUAGCAGUAUAUGCUUCUGUAUUUCUGAAGAAAUGUGUCUGACAAACCAACAGAGGCUUACAGUUUAUUUCUUUAGGAAGUCAACAUAAUGGGAGAAAUUUCUACAUCUAUUCUGGUGCUGCAGCUGAUCUCCUCACCGCCCCAGUAUUGGAGGUUUUGUUUCUGAGCAAUAAGGCAGACUAAAACACCUUACAGUAUUACAUGAUUCUGUAAUGUAUCUG